AAUCAACGCUGGCGGCGUGCCUAACACAUGCAAGUCGAACGCGAAAAGGGGCAACCCUGAGUAGAGUGGCGUCCGGGUGAGUAACACGUGGAUAAUCUGCCUGCGGGCGGGGAAUAACUUUCCGAAAGGGGAGCUAAUACCGCAUAACACCGUAAUAGGGCAUCCUGAUACGGUCAAAGAGGGGGAUCGCAAGACCUCUCGCCUGCAGAGGAGUCCGCGGCCGAUUAGCAGUUGGCGAGGUAACGGCUCACCAAGGCAGCGAUCGGUAGCCGGCCUGAGAGGGCGAACGGCCACACUGGCACUGAAAUACGGGCCAGACUCCUACGGGAGGCAGCAGGUGGGGUAAUUUUGGGCAAUGGCCGAAAGGCUGACCCAGCAACGCCGCGUGAAGGAU
rnacentral:rRNA from 1 species